rnacentral:rRNA from 1 species
AGAGUUUGAUCCUGGCUCAGAACGAACGCUGGCGGCAUGCCUAACACAUGCAAGUCGAACGAACCCUUCGGGGUUAGUGGCGCACGGGUGCGUAACGCGUGGGAAUCUGCCCUUUGCUUCGGAAUAACAGUUAGAAAUGACUGCUAAUACCGGAUGAUGUCUUCGGACCAAAGAUUUAUCGGCAAAGGAUGAGCCCGCGUAGGAUUAGGUAGUUGGUGGGGUAAAGGCCUACCAAGCCGACGAUCCUUAGCUGGUCUGAGAGGAUGAUCAGCCACACUGGGACUGAGACACGGCCCAGACUCCUACGGGAGGCAGCAGUGGGGAAUAUUGGACAAUGGACGCAAGUCUGAUCCAGCAAUGCCGCGUGAGUGAUGAAGGCCUUAGGGUUGUAAAGCUCUUUUACCAGGGAUGAUAAUGACAGUACCUGGAGAAUAAGCUCCGGCUAACUCCGUGCCAGCAGCCGCGGUAAUACGGAGGGAGCUAGCGUUGUUCGGAAUUACUGGGCGUAAAGCGCACGUAGGCGGUUACUCAAGUCAGAGGUGAAAGCCCGGGGCUCAACCCCGGAACUGCCUUUGAAACUAGGUAACUAGAAUCCUGGAGAGGUGAGUGGAAUUCCGAGUGUAGAGGUGAAAUUCGUAGAUAUUCGGAAGAACACCAGUGGCGAAGGCGGCUCACUGGACAGGUAUUGACGCUGAG